CCAGCAGCUGCGGUAAUUCCAGCUCCAAUAGCGUAUAUUUAAGUUGUUGCAGUUAAAAAGCUCGUAGUUGGAUUUCGGGUGGGACCCGGCGGUCCGCCUCCCGGUGUGCACUGCCGUGGCUCGCCUUUCUGUCGGGGACGGGCUCCUGGGCUUCACUGUCCGGGACCCGGAGUCGGCGAGGUUACUUUGAGUAAAUUAGAGUGUUCAAAGCAAGCCUACGCUCUGAAUACGUUAGCAUGGAAUAACAUGAUAGGACUCUGGCCUAUCUUGUUGGUCUGUAGGACUGGAGUAAUGAUUAAGAGGGACAGUCGGGGGCAUUCGUAUUGCGCUGUCAGAGGUGAAAUUCUUGGAUUUGCGCAAGACGAACAUCUGCGAAAGCAUUUGCCAAGGAUGUUUUCAUUGAUCAAGAACGAAAGU
rnacentral:rRNA from 1 species